rnacentral:rRNA from 1 species
UACGUAGGGUGCGAGCGUUAAUCGGAAUUACUGGGCGUAAAGCGUGCGCAGGCGGCGCGUUAAGACAGGUGUGAAAGCCCCGAGCUUAACUUGGGAAUUGCGCUUGUGACUGGCGUGCUGGAGUGUGGCAGAGGGAGGUGGAAUUCCACGUGUAGCAGUGAAAUGCGUAGAGAUGUGGAGGAACACCGAUGGCGAAGGCAGCCUCCUGGGCCAGCACUGACGCUCAUGCACGAAAGCGUGGGGAGCAAACAGGAUUAGAUACCCUGGUAGUCCACGCCCUAAACGAUGUCAACUGGUUGUUGGUGGGGUUAAACCCAUUAGUAACGAAGCUAACGCGUGAAGUUGACCGCCUGGGGAGUACGGCCGCAAGGUUAAA